UACGGAGGGUGCGAGCGUUGCUCGGAAUCAUUGGGCGUAAAGCGUACGCAGGCGGCCAUCCAAGUCGGGUGUGAAAGCCCAGGGCUCAACCCUGGAAAUGCGCCCGAGACUGAAUGGCUUGAGUGCGGGAGAGGGAAGCGGAAUUCCUGGUGUAGAGGUGAAAUUCGUAGAUAUCAGGAGGAACACCGGUGGCGAAAGCGGCUUCCUGGCCCGACACUGACGCUCAUGUACGAAAGCGUGGGGAGCAAACAGG
rnacentral:rRNA from 1 species